rnacentral:lncRNA from 1 species
UCAUCUGAAAGAUAAACUUCAUUCUCAAAGAUAAUCAUAUAUUGUAUGCUAGUUGUAGUCAUAUAUAAAAAUAAAUUAUGGUGUGAAAAAAUGACUAAGUAAAAAAAAUAAAAAAUAAAAGAAACGAGAAAUACUUUCUUCAUUUAAAUCAUUUAUUUAUAAUUUUAUUUAAAAAUCGUAGAAAGGGUGAUGAAUGCAAGGAUGAAUGAGAUCUUUGAAAAUAAUAGUUAUAAGUGUUAGUUUUUCAUGAUCCAAAUUAAGAGCAUUAAUUUUAAGAGCAUUAAUUUUAGACAGAAAUUCUAUUAUUGUAAAUUUUAAGCAGAAAUUCCAAUAUUUUCUCGACGGCUGCAUCUACAGGCUACAGCAAGAAUGUCCUCUAUAUUUGAAUCAAUUUUACAACAAUCUUAUCGACUUUAUUUUCCAAUUUUAAUUUCGGAAUCAAUUUUAUUUCCAGCUUUUGUUUAUGGGUUCUAUUUUAUUUAUUAGUUUUAAAUUCUGCUUUAAUUUUAAAUUUUAUUUCCAGAUUUUUGGAUAAUAGGACUGAAUCAUUUUCUUUAUUAUUAUAUUAUUCUUUUUUAUAUUAAUUGUGAUUUGUGUUUUGUCAUUUUUAUAAAUCCUAAAUUUCAUCCCUCUAACACUAUAUUAUGAGAAAUAUAUUUUCUUUUAGGAAUAUUUAAAAUAAUAGGUAUAAUUUUUUUUCUCUUUGGUAACCACGAAACUAUCAUGUUUCUGACUCUAUAUGUUUGACAUUUUAUUUUAUUUUAUUUUAUUUCUUUAUUAUAAUUUUAUGCUGAUACAUUAUGUUUGUUUUAGGUAUUUUUUAAGAAGGAGCAUUCGUGCAAUAAAUAGGGACAAAAAUGGAAAAGAACGGAGAAAAAGCACAAGUUAUGCACUCAUGGCAUUCACCGUGUCUUUUUCCAAAGCAUUUGCCAUGAUGUCGCAGUCAUUACGUCACUUCACCAUAAAGAAAACUAAAAUAGAAACUAUCGAAUAUGGAUUUUGAGGCCUGGAAUAUAGCAACAUUUUUUUCCAUGGAUUUUUAGCUCUAUAAAUAAGCAGAUUUAGUUCUUCAUGAUCCAAGUUUAAGAGCAUUAAUUUUAGGCAAAUAUUCUAUUAUUGUAAAAUCAAUAGUUUCUCGUAUUUAAGAACAAGUACAUCUUAUCAUUAGGAAUUUUCUGUGUACUUGGAUCAAUUUUACAAUCUAACUUUAUUUUGUAAUUUUAAUUUCGG